rnacentral:rRNA from 1 species
UACGAAGGGGGCUAACGUUGCUCGGAAUCACUGGGCGUAAAGGGUGCGUAGGCGGGUCUUUAAGUCAGGGGUGAAAUCCUGGAGCUCAACUCCAGAACUGCCUUUGAUACUGAGGAUCUUGAGUUCGGGAGAGGUGAGUGGAACUGCGAGUGUAGAGGUGAAAUUCGUAGAUAUUCGCAAGAACACCAGUGGCGAAGGCGGCUCACUGGCCCGAUACUGACGCUGAGGCACGAAAGUGUGGGGAGCAAACAGG